UGAGGAACAUGACCUUCGGCGGGGGAUAGCCGGCCCAACGGCCGGGUAAUACCGCGUACGACCACUUUGGGACAUCCCUCGGUGGUGAAAGCAGCAAUGCGCCGAUGGAGUGCCUCGCGGCCUAUCAGCUUGUUGGUGGGGUGAUGGCCUACCAAGGCGACGACGGGUAGCCGGCCUGAGAGGGUGACCGGCCACAUUGGGACUGAGACACGGCCCAGACUCCUACGGGAGGCAG
rnacentral:rRNA from 1 species